rnacentral:lncRNA from 1 species
CCCUUUGGGAACCCUUUGUCCUUUAUACAGCACGUGUGCGGAAAGGAAGAGCAUGAAGUAGGUGAAGUGUGUUCAGAAACCCAAAUAUCCAUUUUAUUUGCCCAAGCCCUCAGCAUGUGGGAGUUCCCAGCUCAGAGACUGAACCUGCACCACAGCAGCAACCUGAGCCACUGAGGUGACAACGCCAAAUUCUUAACCUGCUGCACCACAAGACAACUCCUGGGAUAUCCAUUUUUAAAAGAAAAUCAGCAAGGAAGGGAUUGUAUUCUAUGCAGUGGGGUCUGGAUUACUCCUAAGUUAAGCCUUACCUUCUAUGAUUAGGCACCACAGUGAACAGAGUCCCUGGAAACAACCGGAGAGAAGGAUGAGCCCAAGGAGGAAGCAUGCCAAAGGAAGGAGCAAAUGUAACCCUAAGACCAGCUUUAAGAAAACAAGGCAAAAGCCAAGAGCCAUAGACAAAAAUUGGUCCAGACUGUCUAUUCUGCCUUCCUGUUUCCACGGCCAUCACCCUGCUUCCAACAUAGCGGUGCAACCCUGCUACCACUUCCUACGUCGUAGAACCCCCCCCCCCCAAAGAGGCCAACUGCUUGGAAAUAAGAUGGAAUUCUUACAUUAAAAACAAAC